GCCGGGGUAGCUCAGUUGGUAGACGCGCCGCACUGAAGACGCGGAGGUCGCCGGUUCGAUUCCGGCCUCCGGCA
rnacentral:tRNA from 1 species